UGUAUCCUUCGUGUCUUUUGUCACUUUUCAUUUUCAAAAUCCAAAUUUUUUCCUGCGUCAGAAUUUUUUCAUUUGGUAUCUCAAACAUGUUUUAAAUCGUGUCUUUUUAACGUUGGAUUUGAAAAAUGAACCCCCGUUAUCGUACACGCAUACCUCCACCUUUAAGGGGGGGGGGGGGGGAGAUCUGGGACUCCUACUUUCAGAGCGCCAACCAAAGUUCAGCUUAAUGCGCUAAAAAUAUAGAUCCGGCUUUGGAGAUGUGAAUGAAUAAGAAUGUAGAGUAUUUUAAUUUAUUAAUGCUUGGAGAAGUGCGGUCAUUCGCAAUUCCAGAUAAAAAUAAAGCAAAAAUUCGGUAACACAAGUAAAUGAACGAACAAGUCUCCUCCCAAUUAUUUCGGUUCUCUUGCAUGAAGUUCAAAUUUGCACUGUUUUUGCCGCCUUAAAAACAACCAAUAGGAGUUGAUUGCAUUAGUUCACUGUCUCGACACUAGGUACCGUCCAAGCAGCCUCCAAAAAUUUUGAGGUUAUGAAUUUGUUUUCAUUGUCGGCCGUGAAUUUUACAACGUGGAAGUCUAGUGCAGGAAGGUAUGAAUUCAGAUGACGAAACGUCGCCGGAUAAAAUAAGUACAGAGAAUUUUCUUUCAAAGAACGAUCAGUCUGAAACAUCGGUCGAUUUAAAUUCGAAGAAACACCAAGAAGCUCGAGCAUUUCUGCGAGAAAAGUAUCUCAGAGUAAUAACUCUUCUUGUUGGUCAUUCUUGCAAAUUCAAUCUAGUGGAUGGUAACUGUGUUAGUGGAACUUUUAGUGGGUCGGAUGCUGAUUCAAAACGAUUUUAUGUCAAGAAUCUAGUGACACCUAUUGGAGCAGUUUCUGACGCCUUGCUUAGGAGUGAAGACAUUGUUAGUUUUCACAUAUCUGGAAUCAGUGAGUGUUCUAAUAUGGCUACAUACUAUUAUAUUUUGCCAGCAAGAUUGAAAAAUUAUUAUUGACAAACAAGGAAGAUAAUUUUUUUAGAAAAUAGAAGAAAGAUACAAUUUUUAGGAAUUAUGUCUGUGAGCUCAAGGCCAUAAGUCAAAUAAGGAGAUGCGUUUUCCUGUAUCAAGAUUUAUACAUCAAAGCAAUGGAGGACAGAAGGAUCCUCCAUGAGUGGACAGCACGGUAAAUGAAUUUUUAUCCCCAUAGGAUAAAAUUCAGAGACCUAGGUCCUUUAGAACCUAUCACUCACAAAUGAAAAUUUAAAAUCUAUUGGGAUGCGAUAAGAAGCAUGGGUGUAGAAAAGUCAGAUUUUUUUAGGGAUGUAAGUAUUACGAGCACAGAUUUGCACCAAGUGAGACACGACUAAGUAUCAUUUUAGAACAAUAAUUUACCCCCACAGUUUUAAUUUGAAUUAACUAGUUAGAUUUUCAAAAAGGACCAUUAAUUUAAACCGGUUUAACUAAAUAGGUUUAAAUUAGUGGAGAAAGAAUUGUUUUCCCUUAUCAACUAAAUCCAAGCUUCCCAACAAGCCAUUUCUUGAUCAGUUGAUUCUGGAAAAGUGAUCUAAUGGUAAAAUGACCAUCUCAGUUGGAUGGGUAUGAAAUUUUCUCUCAUAAUUCACAUGAGAUCCUUGUGUUAGGUUUUCUCACAAAAUCUCAUUUUCAGUGAGUUUUGCAAAAUUGUAAAGAAAUGUGCUCACUAAAUACUAAACAACAGUCUAGCACGUAUGAAUUCUUGAAAGACGCAUCCCUGAGGGACUGUCUUAGAAUCAGCAAUUAUUUCAAUUUUCAUCGAAAAUAAAAUCUUUAUCAAGAGAAAUUGGAAAGUUUUCUUUUUCACAUGGCUCAGUCUUUUUCUAAAGAUUUUUUUUAUCUCUCAAAACAUAUGUGGAAAUUUUUACUAGUCGAUAGUAGAACUGCAGUCAUGUAAUUUGGAUACAUAAUUAUGAAUUGUAUUUACCGAAUUCUCUGAUACCAAAUUAUCACCUUUUUCUCAAAAUAUUGGAAAUCAUAAUUGCUAACAUUUUCAUAUAGACGAAGAAGGGAAAAACAAGAAAUAAAUAAAAUAAAACUGAAAAAAAAAAAAAGGUCUGUCAAAUGAGUCUUUUUCACGCUUCUUUCUAUUAUUAUUUAAAUUCAAACUCUCCAUGUUCUCAGAAUAAUCAUGAACAAAAAGGAAAAUAGUUAACAAUUAUUACACCACCUUCACUCCUGCAAUAAUAUUAAUUUUCCCUAUUUGCUUUUUCUUUCCCUCUAGAUAUUUAGUUU
rnacentral:lncRNA from 1 species